rnacentral:rRNA from 1 species
UACGGGGGGGGCAAGCGUUGUUCGGAAUUACUGGGCGUAAAGGGCUCGUAGGUGGCCAACUAAGUCAGACGUGAAAUCCCUCGGCUUAACCGGGGAACUGCGUCUGAUACUGGAUGGCUUGAGUUUGGGAGAGGGACGCGGAAUUCCAGGUGUAGCGGUGAAAUGCGUAGAUAUCUGGAGGAACACCGGUAGCGAAGGCGGCGUCCUGGACCAACACUGACACUGAUGAGCGAAAGCCAGGGGAGCAAACGGG